CGAGAAAGCCCGCAAGGGUGAGUAAAGCGGCGCACGGGUGCGUAACACGUGGGUAAUCUGCCCUAGAGUCUGGAAUAACUCGCCGAAAGGCGUGCUAAUGCCGGAUGAGACCACGGGAGCUUCGGCUCCUGCGGGAAAAGGUGGCCUCUGUACACAAGCUAUCGCUCUAGGAUGAGCCCGCGGCCCAUCAGCUAGUUGGCGGGGUAAUGGUCCACCAAGGCAACGACGGGUAGCUGGUCUGAGAGGACGAUCAGCCACACUGGAACUGAGACACGGUCCAGACUCCUACGGGAGGCAGCAGUGGGGAAUCUUGCGCAAUGGGCGAAAGCCUGACGCAGCAACGCCGCGUGUGUGAUGAAGGUCUUCGGAUCGUAAAGCACUGUCGCGAGGGACG
rnacentral:rRNA from 1 species